UUGAACGCUGGCGGCAGGCCUCACACCUGCAAGUCGAGCGGAUGGAGGGAGCUUGCUCCUGGAUUCAGCGGCGGACGGGUGAGUAAUGCCUAGGAAUCUGCCUGGUAGUGGGGGAUAACGUCCGGAAACGGGCGCUAAUACCGCAUACGUCCUGAGGGAGAAAGUGGGGGAUCUUCGGACCUCACGCUAUCAGAUGAGCCUAGGUCGGAUUAGCUAGUUGGUGGGGUAAAGGCCUACCAAGGCGACGAUCCGUAACUGGUCUGAGAGGAUGAUCAGUCACACUGGAACUGAGACACGGUCCAGACUCCUACGGGAGGCAGCAGUGGGGAAUAUUGGACAAUGGGCGAAAGCCUGAUCCAGCCAUGCCGCGUGUGUGAAGAAGGUCUUCGGAUUGUAAAGCACUUUAAGUUGGGAGGAAGGGCAGUAAGUUAAUACCUUGCUGUUUUGACGUUACCAACAGAAUAAGCACCGGCUAACUUCGUG
rnacentral:rRNA from 1 species